GCCCUGAGAUUCCAUUUCCUGGGGGCCAUGGCCUGCCUGAUCCGGUAGGCUCCCCACUCACAGAUAGGCUGCAGCAGAGAGGUAGAGCCACUGCCUGCUUGGGGAACCUUUCACAAUUACAAAUAUCUCCAACAGGCCAUCGAAGGAAGGGAGCCAUUGGAAGGCCAGAUUUCCUUAUUUCUCACAGCCCAACACACAGACUGGCAGGGAAAGAGAGCCUUCUCCAGCACGAAGAUACUCUUCAGGAUAUGCAAUGUACACAACCUGGAGAUGUGCUAAGCCCAAACCCUAGUGACAAAGAUGAACCAACACUGUCUUAUUGCUACUUUUAGUGUGGAGCAAUGACUCUCAGCACUGGGAACCUUAUACCCAGGGAGGACUGCGUUAACCUGGGUUCUAAUCCCAGCUUACCUUGGAUGCCAGCGAUGGGUAGCAGGAGUGGAGGAAAAACAGCUUGUGGGCUCGUAGGAGGGACUGGCUCGGACAAGUCGAGCACUGCUGGCAGCAGCCGGGCCCCCUUGCAGCAGAAACCUGGGAGGAGAAACAGAACCAGGAGGAAAGUAAAUCAGCUCAUCAUGGAAGAUGCGAAAUGAUUUUUCCAGUGGGCAAGUUGGGGAACAAAGAAUGGGGGGUUAGAAGCCUCAAGAGAAGGCAGGAAUUGUGACAUCAUUGCCUGGGCUCUCCCCCACCCAGAGUGACAACUCCUAACAGGGUGCCCCAAGGCUGGGGAGGAGCAGGUAUACGGCAGCAGGCUGUCAGCACCAACAGCCAACAUCAGUAGGAAUGACAAACACUGACUACACCGAGCUUGACAGCCACCCAAAGCUUCUGAGAAGCAAGGGAGCAGAGCUAUCACCAUGGCAGAGACGAGGAGCCAUUGCCCCAGAGAUGGAAAGUGACUCUCCCAGAGGCACCCGGCAAGGGGUAGAGCCAGGAUUAAGACUCAAGGACCUAAUCCGUAAAAUGACCUGACCAUCUCCCCAGGACUGGGAGAAGAGAGGCUGGCAAAAAGAAAGGGCCCACAUCCUCCUCCUGGCCCACCCAGGGACAGGACUAUGCAUCUGGGAAAAGAUUCUCCUGUAUCCUUUCAUUGCUAGCAGGGAGAGUGGGAAGGUGCUCAGAGACCCCACAGGGCACUCCCUCAGGACAGUUUGACCUGCCCUAGUUCUGUAAAUUAUAAUUCUAAUCAUAUAGAGAGU
rnacentral:lncRNA from 1 species